AAGACCUUGCGCUUUUGGAGCGGCCGAUGUCUGAUUAGCUAGUUGGUGGGGUAAUGGCCUACCAAAGCUUCGAUCAGUAGCUGGUCUGAGAGGACGGCCAGCCACACUGGGACUGAGACACGGCCCAGACUCCUACGGGAGGCAGCAGUGGGGAAUUUUGGACAAUGGGCGCAAGCCUGAUCCAGCCACGCCGCGUGAGUGAAGAAGGCCUUCGGGUUGUAAAGCUCUUUCAGCCGGGAAGAAAAGGUUGCGAUUAAUAAUCACAAUUGAUGACGGUACCGGAAGAAGAAGCACCGGCUAACUACGUGCCAGCAGCCGCGGUAAUACGUAGGGUGCGAGCGUUAAUCGGAAUUACUGGGCGUAAAGGGUGCGCAGGCGGUUUUGUAAGUCAGAUGUGAAAUCCCCGGGCUUAACCUGGGAACU
rnacentral:rRNA from 1 species